GAUGAACGCUGGCGGCGUGCUUAACACAUGCAAGUCGAACGGUGAAGCAGGAGCUUGCUCUUGUGGAUCAGUGGCGAACGGGUGAGUAACACGUGAGUAACCUGCCCCAGACUCUGGGAUAAGCGUUGGAAACGACGUCUAAUACCGGAUACGAGACGAGAAGGCAUCUUCAUCGUUUGGAAAGAAUUUCGGUCUGGGAUGGACUCGCGGCCUAUCAGCUUGUUGGUGAGGUAAUGGCUCACCAAGGCGACGAUGGGUAGCCGGCCUGAGAGGGGGACCGGCCACACUGGGACUGAGACACGGCCCAGACUCCUACGGGAGGCAGCAGUGGGGAAUAUUGCACAAUGGGCGCAAGCCUGAUGCAGCAACGCCGCGUGAGGGACGACGGCCUUCGGGUUGUAAACCUCUUUUAGUAGGGAAGAAGCGAAAGUGACGGUACCUGCAGAAAAAGCACCGGCUAACUACGUGCCAGCCGCCGCAGUAA
rnacentral:rRNA from 1 species